rnacentral:lncRNA from 1 species
AUGGAAACUGAACUCGUGUCCUCUGCAAGAGCAGUACACACUCAACUGCUUAGAAAUUGCUCCAGCUCCAUUCAGUAUUUGCUAUCUUUUGUUCUUGCUACAAAGGUAGCAGAGUUGAAAAGUCCCUCCACCAGAAUUCUGAAGUAUUUCCUAUCUGUCCUUUUACAGAGAGUGUUUGCUGUCCUGUCCUGGAACACCACUGGACUUAGAUACAGUGAGUGGGUAAAAGGAAGUUGCUGCAUAGUGACAAGAAGCUCACAAAUUGAAAGGAGAGAAAGCAUCCUGGAAACUUUGCCACUUGUUUAACAGAAGAACAUAUCUCGGGAGCUGUUUGGUAGAUGAAAUUCAUAUCCCAGGCUUAUUGUGAAGACUGAGGUAACCUGAGCGUGAAUAGCACCAUAGACUUACUCAGUAAAUGUCCAUUGCCUUCCACUGUUCAGAGGUAAGUAUUAGAGACUAUCAGGAAUCAUAUACAACACAACAUUUACUAUAUUACAAUGCAAAGGAUGCUAAUUUGAAUUGUACACAGCAGUGUUUUUAAUAGUUUCUUAUGUAAUGGGACUUACUUAACAUAAUGUGAAGUUAGAGAGGUCAGUGUAUUCAGUGAAGGAGCAGGACUGCAGCUCUGUUUGAAACUAAUGAUAACCUGUUGGUGGGGUAGGUUGGAAAGGUGAAUUCCUGUGUGUGGUUUAAAUCCGAAUUGGCUGGAGAACUGGACAAAUGCUCAAGUCCUACCCUCCGAGACUCCAGUUCAUUCUAUCUGGGGUGAGGCCCUGGGGUUGUUUGCUUUAGAUUUUAUUUGAUUUCCUUGGAUGAUUCUAAUAUACAGUCAGGGUUAAGAAGCAUCCAUGGUGAUAGCAUGAGGCCAGGUUUAGGGAACUGCUGUAGCAAAGGCACAACUGCGUAAUGGAACCAUGCCUGUCUGUGGUUUAGAGUAGUCAAGGCAGAGGCCAGGCUGAGGUGCUAUUCAUCCCAUGGACAGAGCCUAGUCUCUAUCCUGUGAGUAGAAGGGAAUGUCUGAAGGACUUUAAGCAGAAGAAAACACACACACACACACACACACACACACACACACACACACACACACACACACACACACACACACGAGAGUUAAUGAAGCAAACUCUGCAAGGAAAACAAUCUAUAACUCCAGUCUGAUAUUUUCUUGUGGCCCCCACAGGUAUCAGUCAUAUAUGUGAUGCAAAGACAUACAUGCAGAUAGGCAAAACACCCAUACAUGUAGAAUUCCACACAAAGAAUUUUCUUCAAACUUAAAAAAGACCCUGCAAUAGGGGAUUUUUAAAAAUACAUUUAUAUGGCAUAUAAGUUUGCAUAAAGGAAAUACUGGUAUCCUUUUUUCACAACUUUUGUGUAAAUCUAAAAGUAUUUCCAAAUAAAGAAUAAGUGGGUCAUCUGGAUUUGACCCUG